AUUCUUCUAUCUCUUGGUGGAAGCAUUCCUUCUUCUGGAACUAAGACCUCCAGGUCAACAGAGUGCAACCUUGCAGGAUCCAGAGGCACCGUGCUGCCAGCGGGCACUGAGGGGACAUGGUGACUGGUGUCCCUCCCCGUUCCACCCCUCGGUUCCUGAACACCUGAACCCUGGCUAUUAGAGAAACAUUACUAUGUCCUGGAUGCUGAGUCACCACCAGCCUCCUGGAGAGCCUUGCCACAUCUGGCUGGCACUGCCCCUGCGUCUUCCAAAGGCCCCCAUGCUGCUCUGUCAUGCCAGCUGCUCCGCAAUCGUGGGAACACGGUAAAACGGCAUCCACAAAUGCUUUGUGCCGAGUCUGCUGGAAAAUGACAGGGAUGGCCGGGGAAAGAAGGUGACUGGUGUCCACUGACUUAUCAUCCUGUCCACGUGAUUAUUGAAGCCCUCCUCUCCUGAGGUCUCCCCUGGGAACACCUGGAUUAACGAGCAGACGCCAUUAAGCUGUGGGUCAGAGGGUUACGGCUCUGCCUGGACUCUGUCCAUUGCAGCCAGUACACCUGCCUCGCCUCUGGUGGUUGGGUGAAGCCCCUGGGCACCUGCCUCACUGUGACCCAGCUGCUUCAACGGCCUGUACAUUCUCCUACUGAGUAGCUACCAGCCCACUUGAAGGUUGGGCCUACAGAGAACAACAACAUUAGGUAUCUUCAAGGAUGCUGGGGCUCCAAUCCCUAAUUUAUUUCUCAAAAUACUGGUGGAACAUGUGUCUCCUGGCCAGUCCCAGUGUGGUCAUUGAGAAGUAAAAAUGUCCUUGUCCCUAAACCCUGAAAGCUGAAGCUGGAUGACGUCAUGUAAACUUCAAGGAAAUCACCACAGAUCGUGUGGACAAAGUUUCUGCUUGUUGCUGGAUGGGACACUCAGAAGCUCACCUGGACACCAACGCCACCACCACAGAAAAUCAAACUGAAAACCAGGAAAUCCAGCAGAUUGCUGCCACUGUAUACACCCACCGUCUAACUAUGCUUUGAGCCCAUCUAGAAAUAUUCUCAUUAGGUUUUCCUCUGGAAUCGGAAACUCGUUUCUCUAUCGAUCUUUGUUUCUCUUUUAUUUUCGUAGAAAUGUUUCCCCAUUAAAUGUCUGAUGGGGAAACCAUACUGCAUACCCUCCACUGCCAAAUCUCAGCAGAAAAUUCACAAGAUCCUAAUGAACAAAAGGCAACUGGACAAAAAUGGACUUACGUUAUUCUAAAGAAAGAAGAAUGUCUCUUCUUUUCCUGAACAAGAAGGCGAC